rnacentral:rRNA from 1 species
GACGAACGCUGGCGGCGUGCUUAACACAUGCAAGUCGAGCGGUAAGGCCCUUUCGGGGGUACGACGAGCGGCGAACGGGUGAGUAACACGUGGGUGACCUGCCCUCAGCUCUGGGAUAAGCCUGGGAAACCGGGUCUAAUACCGGAUAUGACUCCAUGACGCAUGUUGUGGGGUGGAAAGCCUUGUGCGGCUGAGGAGUCGGGCCCGCGGCCUAUCAGCUUGUUGGUGGGGUGAUGGCCUACCAAGGCGACGACGGGUAGCCGGCCUGAGAGGGCGACCGGCCACACUGGGACUGAGAC